rnacentral:lncRNA from 13 species
AUAAUUUCUCUUUUUUCAAAGCUGUUGUGUGUGAAGAGGUGAGGGACCAAAAAGACUAAAUGUCUCCCCUUUUUAAUGGCUUGAUGAAAAAGAAUGUUCUCUGCUUUGUUUUUUGUUACCCCCACCCCCGCAACCAGCCAGGGGAAGAGCACAGAGCUUCCUCUUCCUAUUUGGUGGGUCCACAUUGUAUCAAAGCUCUUUCAAAGGUUGUGCGAAUUCUAAGGGCAGUUGAGUCUUGUGUAUCUGAACUUACAUAUCCCUUCUUGGAAAACUGCAUGUGGAGCAGCAACGUAAUUGAGCUCCAUUUCCAUCUUCUGACUAUUGACUCACAUGUGUUAAUAUCCUACUGAAAGCUCCUUUCCAUUCCAGUCCUUCUAAAAGCAGCUGACCGUCCUCAUCAAUGCAGAGAUUUGGCCCUCGCAGCUGACCGUCCUCAUCGAUGCAGAGAUUUGGCCCUCGCAGCUGACCAUCCUCAUCCAUGUAGAGAUUUGGCCCUCGCAGCUGACCGUCCUCAGCGAUGCGGAGAUUUGGCCCUCGCAGCUGACAGUCCUCAUCGAUGCAGAGAUUUGCUUCUGUCCCCAGGGUUUUCGUACAUGAGGCUCCUGGAUCCUUACAACACGAUGACAUAAGUACCUUCACACUUGAGGACACUAAGGCUCAGGGAGAAGUAACCCGCCAGCAAUCGAUGAAUCUGGAAUGUGAAUGCCUCUCCUUUCACUCUCUAUCCCUGUUCUUUUCCAGAUAGGAUGUACACGAUCAUUUCUCAACUGCAUAUAUAAAGCAACAGAGAAAAUGUUCUCUGCAAUUGACGAUCAAGACAAAAAAAGCCUCCUUUGUAUUACGGUGCAAUGUAGACUUACUUAACUUUUGUCAGUGGAAAUGUCAAACUUAUUUUAAGAAAAAUGUUCAAAAGAUUUCAAAGAUAUCAGAGGACACCUCAAUAAAAGAACAAUGGAAAUUGUAGCUCAGCCUCUUCUUCCACUGGCCCUGAGUGUACUUGGCAAAGCCCAAUUGCCUGGAGUCUGUGUUCUGUUUCCAUACAGAAUGGGAGAUGGAAGAGGAAACAGAGGCAGAACUACCCUUUAUUCUUCCGUGCACUCUGGGGACUUCAAAGAGGAAUCUACUCAGAGAAAAUGUGCACGGACCGGGGAGAAGAGUCAGGAAGCUCGUGACUGGUUACCUUCUCCCUCCCGUGGCAAGCUUCCCAUCCCUGCACAGCGAUGUGGAUACUGCAAAAUUGUCCUUGAUGAUUUGCAUCUCUAACUCUCUCGACCUACACAGGAAAGCAUGGACAUUGGCUUCAGCCUUGUCUUCGCCAGCACUGAAUAGCAUCAACCUGUAA